rnacentral:rRNA from 1 species
GAUGAACGCUGGCGGCGUGCCUAAUACAUGCAAGUCGAGCGAACAGACGAGGAGCUUGCUCCUCUGACGUUAGCGGCGGACGGGUGAGUAACACGUGGAUAACCUACCUAUAAGACUGGGAUAACUUCGGGAAACCGGAGCUAAUACCGGAUAAUAUAUUGAACCGCAUGGUUCAAUAGUGAAAGACGGUUUUGCUGUCACUUAUAGAUGGAUCCGCGCCGCAUUAGCUAGUUGGUAAGGUAACGGCUUACCAAGGCGACGAUGCGUAGCCGACCUGAGAGGGUGAUCGGCCACACUGGAACUGAGACACGGUCCAGACUCCUACGGGAGGCAGCAGUAGGGAAUCUUCCGCAAUGGGCGAGAGCCUGACGGAGCAACGCCGCGUGAGUGAUGAAGGUCUUCGGAUCGUAAAACUCUGUUAUUAGGGAAGAACAAAUGUGUAAGUAACUAUGCACGUCUUGACGGUACCUAACCAGAAAGCCACGGCUAACUACGUG